UUCGUCUUCCUGAUCACCAUCUCUACAGAACAGUUUAGGUCUCAAUGGACCGUCCAGCGGCAAAAGUGUCAAUGGCAGUCUCAGAGUAUCAAGACAGCACAUUGUGACAUCACAACAUUGGCUCCUCCUUCAUCUUCUUGAAAUAGACAGGACUUUGUGAACUUUGGAAAAAGUUUUGUUUCCUUAAUGGACUUUUUUUCCCCAGCAAAAUUUAUUAAAACAAACACAUCUGUCCUUGUUUACGAAAUCAUGUCUGCUGAACAUUUUGUGCAAGAUACCACUGGCCAAUAUUGUUGUUAAGCCUGAAGUUUUCAAUGUCCUUAUGACUAUUUAAUUGACAUUAAAAAGGAUCAAUACUGGCAAAGGGGACAUGGUGACAAGAGGGAAGACAGGCUUUCUUUUUCUUCAGAUGCAGAUGGACCCCAAGCGUAACUAUAAAUAUGUGCAGAGAAUAUUGCUUUCCAUUCUACAGAGUUGGACACAUGGGACAGACAAUGUAAUAAUACAGAAACCCAUGUUGUUUGUGGAGGGGGGGCGGAACCAAGAUGACCUUCAUAAAAAUGAAGUCCUUUUUUUCUGCUCGGGAAUGCUGAAAGAUUUGUAUUUACAAAGAUGCUAGGGAUUUAACUUAACAUCUGGAGUCAUCUGAAUAACGAAUUUUAAAAGUCAAGGAAGAUAGUUUCAGUGUGUCAUCUCAGGUUAUAAAGGCAUAUGCAUAUAUAUAGCUACCGUUUUAUUUGUUAAAUGCCAAAAUAUGACAUUUAUGACUAUGUGGCAGCCUUACACAAACCUCUCAAAUGACUUACACUUCCCAGAGGGUUGCCAGUGUGUUAAUAGUAUUGUUGCAUGUGCAAAAAAUUCUUCUUUGUGAUUGUCAUACAGAUGGGCGGGAGGAGGAAAUAGAAAGCAGAAACCUAUGUACUGUACCCUACAAUAAAUGCAGUUAAUGUUUAAGCCACAUGGGGCUGAGCUGAUGGAAUUAAUUUUAAUUUUCUGUCUAUCAACAGUUUACAAGAAGAAAAUGGAAGGAGUUCUGAUGAAUAGAUUUGCCAAGCUAUGAGAGGAAAGAAAAGUAUAUCAUUGUCACUUAGUGAAGAAGAAAAUAAGAAGAAAUUUCCAAGCAACUGACUACUAUUGCUUGACAAAUCAUAUCCCUGAACCCGAAGAACAACUUUGAAGGAAAGGGUCUGGACCAUGUGUUAGAAAUAUGCAGCUACAGAUUUAUUGCACUAGACAUUUUAAAUGAUGAUUUAAGCUAUAUUGACAUCUGUGUUUGAUAAGAGAUGUAGAGUAAUGUUAAUACGUAAAAUGAGGCAAGUAAUAUUCUCACUCAAUGAAACAUAUUCCUAUUUUUGAAUGCUUUGCUCAAGAUAUAUUUGCAGCCAUAUAAACAAUACAUUUGAUGUUAAAAAAAAUAACCAUAUCCACUAGUAUUUAAUCAGUGAGUAAAACAUACAGACCUAACAUGCCUUUCCUCAUGCAAAUAUAUCACACCAUUUACCCAUUACAUCUUUAAAAACAAAGCAAAUGUGAUCUCUAUCGACAAUUUUAAGAUGUAUUUUACAAUUUAGAGAAUGUAUCAUUCUUUUAACACAUUUUUAGGAGCACUCAAUUGAAUUUUCCCUUUUCUCAAAAAACUUAUUGAAAGAAUCUAUUGCCACUAACAUGAUCUAUAAUUACAUAUCAUAAGGCACAAUCUGUCUUUAUCUCUGCAAAUGUUAAUGGUGGUGACAACAUAUGAAUGUUAAACAGCAUAACACAAUUGUAUAAAAAAAUGCUUAAAACUGAAAGUUUAAAAGAUUGUAAUGAAAAAUCCUUACUUAUAUUGAAAACUAUAAAAUCUAAUAAAAAAAGUUUAUUUGCC